rnacentral:tRNA from 1 species
GUUAUAGCUCAGUGGUAGAGCACUUGCCUAGCAUGUGUGAGGCACUGGGUUCGAUCCUCAGUGCAUA